rnacentral:rRNA from 1 species
ACGGAAGGCAGCAGUGGGGAAUAUUGGGCAAUGGGCGCAAGCCUGACCCAGCAACGCCGCGUGAAGGAAGAAGGCUUUCGGGUUGUAAACUUCUUUUGUCAGGGACGAACAAACUGACGGUACCUGAAGAAUAAGCCACGGCUAACUACGUGCCAGCAGCCGCGGUAAUACGUAGGUGGCAAGCGUUGUCAGUAUUUACUGGGGGUAAAGGGCGCGUAGGCGGGAUGACAAGUCAGGUGUGAAAUCUAUGGGCUUAACCCAUAAACUGCACUUGAAACUGCCAUUCUUGAGUGUCGGAGAGGUAGAUGGAAUUCCUAGUGUAGCGGUGAAAUGCGUAGAUAUUAGGGGGAACACCAGUGGCGAAGGCGAUCUACUGGACGAUAACUGACGCUGAGGCGCGAAAGCGUGGGGAGCGAACAGGAUUAGAUACCCUGGUA